rnacentral:rRNA from 1 species
ACGAAGGAUGCAAGCGUUAUCCGGAUUCAUUGGGUUUAAAGGGAGCGUAGGUGGACUGAUAAGUCAGUGGUGAAAUCUUCGAGCUUAACUCGGAAAUUGCCAUUGAUACUGUUGGUCUUGAGUACAGUUGCUGUGGGCGGAAUAUGACAUGUAGUGGUGAAAUACAUAGAGAUGUCAUAGAACACCGAUUGCGAAGGCAGCUCACAAAGCUGUAACUGACACUGAGGCUCGAAAGUGCGGGGAUCAAACAGGAUUAGAUACCCUGGUAGUCCGCACCGUAAACGAUGAUUACUCGCUGCUAGAGGGCAACCUUUAGUGGCUUAGCGAAAGCGAUAAGUAAUCCACCUGGGGAGUACGCCGGCAACGGUG